AGUGAACGCUGGCGGCAGGCCUAACACAUGCAAGUCGAACGGCAGCACAGUACGAGCUUGCUCUUACGGGUGGCGAGUGGCGGACGUGUGAGGAAAAUAUCGGAACCUACUUUUUCGUGGGGGAUCACGUAAGAAACUUACGCUCCUAAUGCAUGCGACCUACGGGUGAAAGCAGGGGAACUUCUGACCUUGCGCGGAUGAAUGAGCCGAUGUCGGAUUAGCUAGUUGGCGGGGUAAAGGCCCACCAAGGCGACGAUCCGUAGCCGGGCGGAGAGGAUGGUCGGCCACACGGGAACUGAGACACGGUCCAGACUACUACGGGAGGCCGCAGUGGGGAAUAUUGGACAAUGGGCGCAAGCCUGAUCCAGCCAGACCGCGUGGGUGAAGAAGGCCUUCGGGUUGUAAAGCCCUUUUGUGGGGAAAGAACAGCAGCAGGUUAAGACCCCGCUGUUCUGACGGUACCCAAAGAAUAAGCACCGGCUAACUUCGUG
rnacentral:rRNA from 1 species